rnacentral:tRNA from 1 species
CCUUCGAUAGCUCAGUUGGUAGAGCGGUGGACUGUAGUUGGAUUCUGAAGGCUCUUUAGUAGUUAUCCAUAGGUCGCUGGUUCAAAUCCGGCUCGAAGGA